rnacentral:rRNA from 1 species
CCUACGGGUGGCAGCAGUAGGGAAUCUUUCACAAUGGGCGAAAGCCUGAUGGAGCAACGCCGCGUGCAGGAUGAAGGCCUUCGGGUUGUAAACUGCUUUUAUAAGCGAGAAAUAUGAUGGUAACUUAUGAAUAAGGAUCGGCUAACUACGUGCCAGCAGCCGCGGUCAUACGUAGGAUCCGAGCAUUAUCCGGAGUGACUGGGUGUAAAGAGUUGCGUAGGUGGCAUAAUAAGUAGCUAGUGAAAUCUGGUGGCUCAACCAUUCAGACUAUUAGCUAAACUGUUAAGCUCGAGACCGUUAGGGGUAACUGGAAUUUCUAGUGUAGGAGUGAAAUCCGUAGAUAUUAGAAGGAACACCAAUAGCGUAGGCAGGUUGCUGGGACGGUUCUGACACUAAGGCACGAAAGCGUGGGUAUCGAACAGGAUUAGAUACCCGUGUAGUC